rnacentral:rRNA from 1 species
GACGAACGCUGGCGGCGUGCUUAACACAUGCAAGUCGAACGAUGAAGCUAGAGCUUGCUCUGGUGAAUUAGUGGCGAACGGGUGAGUAACACGUGAGUAACCUGCCCCGAACUCUGGGAUAACUGCUGGAAACGGUAGCUAAUACUGGAUACGACCUACGAAGGCAUCUUCUGUAGGUGGAAAGAAUUUCGGUUCGGGAUGGACUCGCGGCCUAUCAGCUUGUUGGUGAGGUAAUGGCUCACCAAGGCGACGACGGGUAGCCGGCCUGAGAGGGUGACCGGCCACACUGGGACUGAGACACGGCCCAGACUCCUACGGGAGGCAGCAGUGGGGAAUAUUGCACAAUGGGCGCAAGCCUGAUGCAGCAACGCCGCGUGAGGGAUGACGGCCUUCGGGUUGUAAACCUCUUUUAGUAGGGAAGAAGCGAAAGUGACGGUACCUGCAGAAAAAGCACCGGCUAACUACGUACCAGCCGCCGGGGUAA